CGCUUAGGCGUGUGACUGCGUACCUUUUGUAUAAUGGGUCAGCGACUUAUAUUCUGUAGCAAGGUUAACCGAAUAGGGGAGCCGAAGGGAAACCGAGUCUUAACUGGGCGUUAAGUUGCAGGGUAUAGACCCGAAACCCGGUGAUCUAGCCAUGGGCAGGUUGAAGGUUGGGUAACACUAACUGGAGGACCGAACCGACUAAUGUUGAAAAAUUAGCGGAUGACUUGUGGCUGGGGGUGAAAGGCCAAUCAAACCGGGAGAUAGCUGGUUCUCCCCGAAAGCUAUUUAGGUAGCGCCUCGUGAAUUCAUCUCCGGGGGUAGAGCACUGUUUCGGCAAGGGGGUCAUCCCGACUUACCAACCCGAUGCAAACUGCGAAUACCGGAGAAUGUUAUCACGGGAGACACACGGCGGGUGCUAACGUCCGUCGUGAAGAGGGAAACAACCCAGACCGCCAGCUAAGGUCCCAAAGUCAUGGUUAAGUGGGAAACGAUGUGGGAAGGCCCAGACAGCCAGGAUGUUGGCUUAGAAGCAGCCAUCAUUUAAAGAAAGCGUAAUAGCUCACUGGUCGAGUCGGCCUGCGCGGAAGAUGUAACGGGGCUAAACCAUGCACCGAAGCUGCGGCAGCGACGCUUAUGCGUUGUUGGGUAGGGGAGCGUUCUGUAAGCCUGUGAAGGUGUGCUGUGAGGCAUGCUGGAGGUAUCAGAAGUGCGAAUGCUGACAUAAGUAACGAUAAAGCGGGUGAAAAGCCCGCUCGCCGGAAGACCAAGGGUUCCUGUCCAACGUUAAUCGGGGCAGGGUGAGUCGACCCCUAAGGCGAGGCCGAAAGGCGUAGUCGAUGGGAAACAGGUUAAUAUUCCUGUACUUGGUGUUACUGCGAAGGGGGGACGGAGAAGGCUAUGUUGGCCGGGCGACGGUUGUCCCGGUUUAAGCGUGUAGGCUGGUUUUCCAGGCAAAUCCGGAAAAUCAAGGCUGAGGCGUGAUGACGAGGCACUACGGUGCUGAAGCAACAAAUGCCCUGCUUCCAGGAAAAGCCUCUAAGCAUCAGGUAACAUCAAAUCGUACCCCAAACCGACACAGGUGGUCAGGUAGAGAAUACCAAGGCGCUUGAGAGAACUCGGGUGAAGGAACUAGGCAAAAUGGUGCCGUAACUUCGGGAGAAGG
rnacentral:rRNA from 1 species